rnacentral:rRNA from 1 species
GAUUUCUGGUUUGACAUGCCUGGCCCGCCGGGGUUACCCGUGUGAGUGCCGGUGCGCGUCUACCAUCCUUCCGGAGAACGGCCUUACCCUUCACUGGGCCGAGGUCGCGAUCCGGAUCUUUUACUUUGAAAAAAUUAGAGUGUUUAAAGCAGGCUUACGCUGUGAAUACAUUAGCAUGGAAUAAUAAUUUAGGACUUUGGCCCUAUUUUGUUGGUUUCUAGGACUGAAGUAAUGAUUGAUAGGGAUAGUUGGGGGUGCUAAUAUUCAGCGGCCAGAGGUGAAAUUCUCGGAUUCGCUGAAGACUAACUUAUGCGAAAGCAUU